rnacentral:rRNA from 1 species
UGCCAGCCGCCGCGGUAAUACGAAGAAUGCAAACGUUGUUCGGAUUUACUGGGCGUAAAGAGCGCGUAGGCGGCUUCAUAAGUUAAGGGUAAAAUCCCGGGGCUUAACUCCGGAACUGCUCUUAAAACUGUGGAGCUAGAGACAAUCAGAGGUGGGUGGAAUUCCAGGUGUAGAGGUGAAAUUCGUAGAUAUUCGGAAGAACACCAGUGGCGAAGGCGACUCACUGGCACAUUUCUGACGCUGAGGCGCGAAAGCGUGGGGAGCAAACAGGAUUAGAUA